GAUCCAUUCCUAUAUGUAAGAAUCAAUUUCACAAUAAUCCUUACACCCUGAGUUCCAGAAGAAAUCCAGGUAUGGUAAUAUAUGUUUAUAUUUCCGAAUGUGUUCAUUUUUUCACUUUUAUCUUAUUAUUCAAACACUUAAGGGUCGUUUGGUUGGGAAACAAGUUAUCCCGUGAUUAAUUAUCUCGAUAUUAGUUAUUCCGCCCUCCCAUAGGGAUAAGAAAAUAUUAUAAUCCCGAGAUUAGUUAUAUCACAAUUUUAUCUCAGCCAAACGUCGGAUAAACUCAUCUCAAAUUUAAUUCCGGGAUUAAUUAUCCCUUAUCCUCGUACCAAACGAGCCCUUAGUAUUCUUGAACAAUUCAGAAAACAUGUAUACCUAAUCUAAUCAAGCUAGUCCAAGACAGUGAUCAGCUUUAUAUGUUUCUCUUCUUAACCACAAAUUUCAUGUCGAGAUGCGGAUCCAGUAUUUGAAGUUUAUGGUACAACCACGCGCAUCAUGAAUAUUGAUUGGGCUGGUAAGAUUCGCGCACAUACAAAACAACAUAUGUGCUGGUCUUUCUUGGCCAUUUUUCAUUUCCAGUAUAAAAGCAGAACAUCAAAUCAUGACUCACACUAUUGCUAAUCCUCUUCAAAUUCAAAAAUUGUUACAAGUUUUACAUGCUUUUUUUACUAAGCCUCUGUUAUUUACUGUGGAUACACAAUUUGUUAAUCUGAAUAGUUUUCAUCAUAAUCUUGAUUGUUGUAUACCAUUAUCUUGUAACUGUCAUUUAUCUAUAUACUUUACUUACCUAUCUCUUUUUAUAAGGAAAAAAUAUUUACUACAUAGAAUAGAGGAGGGAUGUCAGUAUUUAACAGAAAUAAUACUGGUAACUAAGAACUUCAGAUUGAAGUAAUAGAAUUACUAAAUCAUCAUAAGUACUUAGAUAUAUACAACUUUCGGUCUUCCAUUUCUUGGUUCAAACUGUUAACUGAAUUAUCUCUGAUUUCAUCAUUUUUAUUCAAGAAUCUACACAUCUCAAGCAUUAUUUCUUGACUUAUCCGUUUUCGCUCAUUUCUUUGUAUUUUUCUUCUAUUUUUCUAUUCCAAUCCUUCUCUCUACUCUUCUUUUUUCCCUUUCUUUCCUUGUUUCAGAAGAAGAAAUCACUGAAAUUUGAAUGCUUAAAUCAACAAUUGUCCCUAUUAUCAAUACUCAUUCUUUAGCUUGUGUUAAAUCAACUAUCUGUGCUGAAAAAAUAAAACUAUUUGGAGAAGAAGGUAAAACCAAAAUGAAGCCAACCAUGGAACAAAACUGCUGAUAUGUUAAUAAAUAAAGUUUGGAUUUCCAAUGAAUAUUACAAGAACAUACACCUAGUAUUCAGAAGUUGAAAAGAAAAGACUUUCUCAAAUAGUAACCUAUACAUACUAAUUUUGUAACCACUGCUUCCUCAAAGCUCUUCAGUCGAUUAAAUUCACUUAUCUUCUCUGGAAAUUGAACGCCUUGAUGGCAAAAGCAAAUGUAAAGGCAAACACAAAGACAUAUGCAGUGAGCACAGCUGCAACAACUCCAAGAAAAUCAUGCUUAAACCCAAAGUAACGUCUCAAGAAUUGUUCCACAGUUUCAUUAUCAGAUAGUGUCGUUUGGAUGUCUCCGAAUUGUGAUGCAACCAAACCAUACAAGGUCCAUGCAACAGGGUUAGCCCAGUAGUACCAUCUCCACCAUACAGGCAUACGCUGUAGAAAACAAAACAAAAAAAGUCAUUUUUUCGAGCUAUAGAUCCAUUUUACAUUUGUAUCUUAUAACUAGGAUAUACGAGUUUGAAGAUCUUACAGGUCGUGGAACGAUGAAUCCUGAGAAGAGAUUCCAUACACCAUAGAAGAAGGCAGCAACAAUCGAAGCCACGUUUUGAUUUGGUGUGACAGCCACACUCAUCAUACCAUAGAAUGUAAAGUACAAAAGGGUGAAAAACAUGAUGAACAAGUACCAAAAGAACUUGCCAACAUCCCAUUCGAAUCCAAUCAUAGCAUAGACGAUGAUACCAUAAAACACAGAUUGUACAAAUAUGUAAGGGAUUUCAAUGGAAACCUGCAAUAUAGGAAGUUUUCAUGAAUACUAGGAACUGAAUUCAAAUCUGAAGUUGGUAUAUUUACCAGAAAAUAGAACUUGUUAUUCACCUGUCCAAAGGCAUAGGGGAUGGCAGAGUACAUUCCAGCAGCUCUUUCUCUGUAAAAUACUGUACGCUCAACGGCUACAACUGGUUGCACUGAUGAUGCAUUUUGUACACCAAGGAAGAGAACAGCAGCAUACAUUGAUCCCAUGGCGUUUAAAAGAUCUUGGCUCUUGCUCCUACAGCAAAUAAAUUCCAGUUUAGUAUUAAGGAUUUUAAGUAGUAAUCUACUUUCUAUACUUGUUUUAGUUUUCAUGCUUCUGUACUUACACUUUAGUACCAAGAUCCCAGAACAUUGUCCCGAAGAUUAGUGCUAUGAAUGUCGUGAAGAUGAAUCUGACUGCGGUGUAAGCUGGAUUACGCCAGUAUGACCAGUGUUGCUUCCAUAGGCAAGCCAUACAUUGCGUCCAGAAUGAUUGUGAGUAUUGAGUUUCAAAAUGCAAGUCCUUUGAACCAGGGCGAGGGACGCCUAAUUCACUAAUCAAUGCUUUGUUCCUCCUGUACAGGUCUGAGUUCUUGUAUACGUCGGUGAAAUCAACGCCUAACAUCAUUUCUUGAGCCGAGGCUGUGACUUCUAACAUCCAAGUUGCUGGGUUGUAACCCUCCUUGAUUUUUGCUACCCCAGGAUUUGACUGUAUUCAAGGUAAAACUAAGGUCAGUGUUUGAUCAUAUACAGUGGAAAAGGAAGAGUCAUUUUCUCUUUAGUACAACUUACCUCAAAGUAUUUGAUCAAAUGGCAAGAAUGGCGACCCAAUGGACCUACGUAAAUCUCUUGUCCUCCUCGUUUCAUUAGAAAUAGCUACAAAGCCGCUUAAGAGUUUAGUACUCGAUUUUAUAAAAAGAUAAAAUAUAAAGACUAGCUGGGUUGUGCUUAAAUGAUAUGAAAUCCACCUCAUCAAAGGCUUCAAAAAUGUCGAUGCUAGGCUGAUGAAUAGUACAAACAACGGUUCUUCCAGUAUCGACAGUGUUCCUAACCGCUCUCAUAACAAUCGCAGCAGCUCUUGCGUCCAGCCCUGAAGUUGGUUCAUCCAUGAAAAUGAUAGAGGGGUUUGCUACCAAUUCAACCGCAAUGGUCAAUCUUUUGCGUUGCUCAGUUGAGAGACCGUUGACUCCUGGCAACCCGACUAAGGCUGAUCUUAAGGGU
rnacentral:lncRNA from 1 species